rnacentral:rRNA from 1 species
UACAGAGGUCUCAAGCGUUGUUCGGAUUCAUUGGGCGUAAAGGGUGCGUAGGUGGCGCGCUAAGUCAGGUGUGAAAUUUCGGAGCUUAACUCCGAAACUGCAUUUGAUACUGGCGUGCUUGAGGACUGGAGAGGAGACUGGAAUUCACGGUGUAGCAGUGAAAUGCGUAGAGAUCGUGAGGAAGACCAGUGGCGAAGGCGGGUCUCUGGACAGUUCCUGACACUGAGGCAUGAAGGCCAGGGGAGCAAACGGG